rnacentral:rRNA from 1 species
CCUACGGGAGGCAGCAGUGGGGAAUAUUGCACAAUGGGGGAAACCCUGAUGCAGCGACGCCGCGUGAGUGAAGAAGUAUUUCGGUAUGUAAAGCUCUAUCAGCAGGGAAGAAAAUGACGGUCCCUGAUUAAGAAGCCCCGGCUAACUACGUGCCAGCAGCCGCGGUAAUACGUAGGGGGCACGCGUUAUCCGGAUUUACUGGGUGUAAGGGGAGCGUAGACGGCAGCAAAAGUCGGGAGUGAAGUGCCGGGGCUUAACCCCGGAACUGCUUUGGAAACGGUGCAGCUAGAGUGCAGGAGAGGUAAGAGGAAUGUCUGGUGUAGCGGUGAAAUGCGUAGAUAUUAGGAGGAACACCAGUGGCGAAGGCGGCUUACUGGACUGUAACUGACGUUGAGGCUCGAAAGCGUGGGGAGCAAACAGGAUUAGAUACCCUAGUAGUC